rnacentral:rRNA from 1 species
UAAAGCUAAGCUCCUCGCAUAAGUUCCUUGGAACAGGACGUCAAAGAGGGUGACAACCCCGUAGUCGGCGAGGAAGGCUGGUGAAAGAGAGACUUCAACGAGUCGGGUUGUUUGGGACUGCAGCCCUAAGUGGGAGAUAAACUUCUUCUAAAGCUAAAUAUACACGGGAGACCGAUAGCGAACAAGUACUGCGAAGGAAAGAUGAAAAGAACUUUGAAAAGAGGGUUAAAAGACUUGAAACCGUUGAGAAGGAAGCUGUAGAAGAGCAAUAAACUGGAUUCAGUGUAACGGGGAAGCGUUAAUCACUGCGAAGUCGAUACGAAAGGUCGAUUAGUAAGGAAAUGACGUCGAACUUGCUACUGGGUUCAGAAGACAAAAUGAGUUCUGACUGGAGGAGUCACCUGAGAUCAGGGUCACAGCAGAUCAAAAGGGAAACUCCAGGCGGGACUGAGGGGCCUACGGGCGAUUUUGUCAAAAUGGCUUCUACUGACCCGUCUUGAAACACGGACCAAGGAGUCUAUCAAUUAAGCGAGUGAUAGGGUGGAGAAACCCGUCCGCGAAACGAAAGUGAGUAUAA